rnacentral:rRNA from 1 species
CUACGGGCGGCAGCAGUCGAGAAUCUUCCACAAUGGGCGAAAGCCUGAUGGAGCGACGCCGCGUGCGCGAAGAAGCCCUUCGGGGUGUAAAGCGCUUUUCUGUUUGAAGAAUUUUGACAUUAGAACAGGAAUAAGGGGCUGCUAAACUCGUGCCAGGCAGCAGCGGUAAGACGAGUGCCCCGAGCGUUGUCCGGAAUUACUGGGCGUAAAGCGUCUGUAGGGGGUCUGAUGCGUCUUUUGUUAAAUCUUGUUGCUCAACAACAGGGCUGCAAAGGAUACGGUCGGACUAGAGGAUGUGAGAGGCCAAUGGAACUCAGGGAGGAGGGGUGAUAUCCGUUGAUACUCUGAGGAACACCAAAGGCGAAGGCAUUUGGCUGGCGCAUUCCUGACCCUGAGAGACGAAAGCGUGGGUAGCGAACGGGAUUAGAUACCCGCGUAGUC